GGGGGGGGGGGGGGGGGGGGGGGGGGGGGGGGGGGGGGGGGGGGGGGGGGGGCGUGGGCCGGGGGUGGGCGGCGGGCGGGGGAGGAAGGCCUAGGAAGCUGCCUGGUAGUGGGGGAGAACGUCCGGGAACGGGCGCUAAUACCGCAUACGUCCUGAGGGGGAAAGUGGGGGCUCUUCGGACCUCACGCUACCAGAUGAGCCUAGGUCGGAUUAGCUAGUUGGUGGGGUAAAGGCCUACCAAGGCGACGAUCCGUAACUGGUCUGAGAGGAUGAUCAGUCACACUGGAACUGAGACACGGUCCAGACUCCUACGGGAGGCAGCAGUGGGGAAUAUUGGACAAUGGGCGAAAGCCUGAUCCAGCCAUGCCGCGUGUGUGAAGAAGGUCUUCGGAUUGUAAAGCACUUUAAGUUGGGAGGAGGGGCAGUAAGUUAAUACCUUGCUGUUUUGACGUUACCAACAGGAUAAGCACCGGCUAACUUCGUG
rnacentral:rRNA from 1 species